rnacentral:misc_RNA from 1 species
AUGGAGAGCACCGGAUGCGAAAACGGUGCGUUCAAGAUGCGCCACCCACCAACACAACUACCCAACCUCUCAGUUGACAAUUUCUUGAGGCUGUAGUAUCGCUCCGUCUCUUCUUUGCAGGAUAGUCGGAGUGCGAAAAGCAGUGACUAAAAGAGAGAAAUGAGGCCACAGAUCGUGUUAUUUGGAGAUUCGAUAACAGAGCAGUCCUUUAGAUCAGGUAGUUGGGGUGCUUCUCUUGCUGACACUUACUCCCGCAAGGCCGAUGUGUUGGUUCGUGGCUACGGUGGUUACAACACUCGAUGGGCUCUGUUCUUGCUGCAUCACCUUUUUCCUAUUGACUCCACAAAACCUCCAGUUGCUGUCACAAUAUUCUUUGGGGCUAA